CGCAAGGGGGGGUGCUAUACAUGCAGUCGUGCGGACCUUUUAAAAGCUUGCUUUUAAAAGGUUAGCGGCGGACGGGUGAGUAACACGUGGGCAACCUGCCUGUAAGAUCGGGAUAACGCCGGGAAACCGGGGCUAAUACCGGAUAGUUUUUUCCUCCGCAUGGAGGAAAAAGGAAAGACGGCUUCGGCUGUCACUUACAGAUGGGCCCGCGGCGCAUUAGCUAGUUGGUGGGGUAACGGCUCACCAAGGCAACGAUGCGUAGCCGACCUGAGAGGGUGAUCGGCCACAUUGGGACUGAGACACGGCCCAAACUCCUACGGGAGGCAGCAGUAGGGAAUCUUCCGCAAUGGACGAAAGUCUGACGGAGCAACGCCGCGUGAGUGAAGAAGGCCUUCGGGUCGUAAAACUCUGUUGCCGGGGAAGAACAAGUGCCGUUCGAACAGGGCGGCGCCUUGACGGUACCCGGCCAGAAAGCCACGGCUAACUACGUGCCAGCAGCCGCGGUAAUACGUAGGUGGCAAGCGUUGUCCGGAAUUAUUGGGCGUAAAGCGCGCGCAGGCGGCUUCUUAAGUCUGAUGUGAAAUCUUGCGGCUCAACCGCAAGCGGUCAUUGGAAACUGGGAGGCUUGAGUGCAGAAGAGGAGAGUGGAAUUCCACGUGUAGCGGUGAAAUGCGUAGAGAUGUGGAGGAACACCAGUGGCGAAGGCGGCUCUCUGGUCUGUAACUGACGCUGAGGCGCGAAAGCGUGGGGAGCAAACAGGAUUAGAUACCCUGGUAGUCCACGCCGUAAACGAUGAGUGCUAAGUGUUAGAGGGUUUCCGCCCUUUAGUGCUGCAGCUAACGCAUUAAGCACUCCGCCUGGGGAGUACGGCCGCAAGGCUGAAACUCAAAGGAAUUGACGGGGGCCCGCACAAGCGGUGGAGCAUGUGGUUUAAUUCGAAGCAACGCGAAGAACCUUACCAGGUCUUGACAUCCUCUGAUCCUCCCUGGAGACAGGGCUUCUCCUUCGGGGGACAGAGUGACAGGUGGUGCAUGGUUGUCGUCAGCUCGUGUCGUGAGAUGUUGGGUUAAGUCCCGCACGAGCGCAACCCUUGACCUUAGUUGCCAGCAUUCAGUUGGGCACUCUAAGGGGACUGC
rnacentral:rRNA from 1 species